UCCUCGGGGACGCGGGGCCGGCCGCAGAGCUCUUCGGGGAUGCGGGGCCGCGCUGCUCUCAGGGUGGUCCCGUCCCGUGGCGGGGAAGGCGCCGCAGGUGCGCGAACCUGAGGAAGCCCGAGGGGCCAGAAGCCCGUCGGACUUGCCUCGGCUUUAAUUCUGCCCGCGCCGUGGAGGGAACUGCGCCCCGUUUUAAAAGCUCUCUGUCCAUCUGGCACUGAGCAAAGUGAAGCAUCAUCAGGUGCAAACACCCUGACUGCAGAUGACCAUGAAACUGAGAAAACACAGCUGGACCCAGCAGAGCAUGUGAGCCUUGCCUCUGAGGACACCAACCUUGGCCAGCAGCUGCCGGGAGAGGAGGGCUCAGCCACCAUCCUGGACGUGAUGGGGAAGACAGAGUCAGUCAGCAAAAGGGAGGAGCCAGAGGGCACGGAGCCCCUGCCUGCAGGAGAGGAGGAAAGCUCUGAGCUGCCCUCUGUGUGGCGAGAGGAGAGCAAGGGGCCUUUGCUGCCAGCACCAGGAGAAGAUGCUGGGGCACCAUCACCAGGACCAGCAGAGGACAGUGGGCUGGUAGAGGGCAGUGACAGCUCUGUAGUGGAAAUUGUCGAGAAAGUACAUACUACUGAAGAGGACCACCUCAUUGAGGGUAAUAUUUGUGCUUUCAUAAAUUCAGGAGACCAAAAUUUGCCUCCAGGGACUUCUGCGUGGGUCCUUUUGGCCUCAAAUGAGCCUCUGGAGUCAGAAUUUGGUCCAACAAGUCUGUACCAUGUGAGGCAUAGAAGAAUGUGGCUGCGGAAGCCUUGGAUAUACAAGUCCAAGCUAUAAUAAAUUUAAUCAGCAUUUCCACCUCUGCUAUUUCAUUUCAUAUGCUUUUUGUUCUUAGCAGGUAAAAUGUCCCACCAUACCCCUCAUUUAAAACAUUGUGUCCCUGGGUAGCUCAGACACAUUCCUUGAUAUUUGCCCAGCCCAAAGGCUCGAUUGCUUAGUCACAUGUAUUAAUUAUAAAGCAACUGUCCUUGCACACAUAAAGCUGGAGGGUGCAUGCUUGGAUAUAGAAGUAAAAGCAUCUCUUUGAUGCACACUUGGCAUGUCCAAGAAGCUUGGCUUCUUGGCAAGAAGACAGGCAGAAUAGAAGUAGUAGUGGAGAGACACAGGGCUGUCUUUGCACCAAUGCUUGGAGAUGACUGGGUGGGGAGAGAGGCUGUUUGAGGAAGCGGUGGUGUCUGAGAUGAUGGGUAUUUCCAUGUGCUGUGGAGGGACCUUCAGCAGGAGGUGUGCUCCUUCCUGGAAAUUGCAGGCUAUAUUCAUCUUUGGGUUAGUGCCCAGAGGACAUGGACUGCUCAUACAGAAGAAGAACACUCUGCAGGAGGAAUCAAAUUUCUCCUAAAUGGUACAAAGUAGCUCAGUAAGGAAUCAGAUACAUCCUGGAGUAGCUCUUCUUCAGGGGAUAAGCAGGUAAAGCACAUGAAAAGUAUUUCUCUGCAGGGAGACAUCUUCACUCCAGUUUUGCCUUGAAGAAGUGCAAGGGGUGGAAGGACUGAUCUGUAUGAAGUCCAGAGUCAGUUACACACACUCCCACUAAUCCUGUGGCUUUGUGCUGCAUGUCUCUGAACUGGCCAUAUGAAUCUCAUUUCUGUGCAUCCCAGUAGCUGAGCAUGGUUGUAGGAUUGCUUUGUCCUCUCCUGUGUCUCUCCACGAGAGAAUUUUGUCCUCUACAUAAAAUGGGCAUCUACCCUUUGGAAUAAAGCUUUGUUUUAUGUAAGCAGUGAAUGACAGGUUGCUCACCUGUUAAACACACAUCCUGCCCAGCUGCAAACUCCAAUUUCAUUAUUCACCAUUUCUAAGCCUCAGGGCAAUGCCAGAGGCAGAGCAGCACGCCCUGGACCUUGCACUGUCAUCUCUUGUUAGUGGAAACAUGUUUACAGUUGGCUGGCUGGCUGAAGAUGAGUUGUGGGGCUUUUAGCACCAAGUGAUGCAUGCAGGGCAAGUGAAUGAAGCUUUUGGGGAAAAGAGUUUUGCUCCUAUUACUUCCAAGGUAGAAGUAAUACCUUAAUUUGUAUGCAUUCUCUUUCCAGAGGCAUCUGAUGAAGAAGGGAUUUUCUAUUUUUAUGCUAUGGUGAGACGGGAGAACAGGUGGAAACUGAGCUGCUCAGUGAGACAGUAAGUGAAGGGCCUGAAACAAAAGAAGAAGAAACAGGAGAAGCUGUGGAUAGUGCAGCAGCGUCAGAGAUAGAGGCAGCUAAUAACAAGGAAUAGAAGUUAUGUCUCAAUGAACAUCCUCUUCUUGGGCCUGCUCUUCUGUUCACAUGAAUAUUUUUAAAUUUUAUUGGGUUGGGAAAAUAGAAGGGCUUUUAUGGAUUGAACCACAAGCUACAGACACAUGAAUAGGAGGCACCAGAAGAAGUUUUAUGUAAUACAGAUUUUUUGAAGUCAAGCUGCCAAGACUUCAAGUAUUUGAAACACCCAAACUUUCAUCUCCCUGCCACGAAGUGCCUUCUACACACCAGGAUAAUUUUUCAACAGCAGUAUGAUCAUUCCUUUUUCAAUUACAAGUUUUUCCCAGGCUCAGAUAACUGCCUUCAACCAUUGAAACCUUCAACCAACAUUAUAUAGGAUAAAGAAUAGAGUGUAGCUUUUUUCUCUUUAAAUGAUUGUAUGUAGGCAGUUCCUCUGUGUGCCAGGACUACCAACGUAGGCAGCUGCUGAACUGCACAGCACCUAGAGAACUGGGAAAGUGCUCUUUUACCAAGCUCUAACUAAAUGCAGAGGUGAGUUUUCCAGAAAAUAGAAGACAACAGAGUGCAGUGUCCAGGACCAAGCUGUGUGCUGAUCACUCCCCAUUUCUAAACUCAAAUAUACUGAAGGGAUUGUAUUACAAUAUAUGUGAUGACUUCUGCAGAAGCAGUGAGAAGAGGGCAUUUUUAACUGAGUGGGAUGUUUUAGUUGUAUAAAUCCUAAAACUUCACAGCUGUUAACAUUCAUGGUCAAUAAUAACCUGUCUUUAGCUGUUCCUCAUAUGCCUUUGUGGCUUCUAAAAUGGACUUCUAAGAGAGAAAAUACAAACCUGUCUAAGAGACAAAUAUAAGCCUGUUCCCAAAGGAAAGGUUAUCUAUUAUAUUCCCCUGGAAUGCUGUCCUCCUGGAGAAAUAUGCUAUCAGGGACUGCCUGGGUUAUUUUCCAAAAUGCUAAAUAUUCAUUUUGGAGAUGAAGCUGAAUGGAAAUACUUUCAAACAAAUUUCCUGUGAAAACAGGCCCUGGAUAUGAUUUGUGGUUUGGGUAGAGUAGAUUUUUUUUCUGUUGGUGAAUAUUGCAGGAUCACAGAAUCAAUUAGGUUGGAAAACACCUCGAAGUUACUGGAGUCCAAAUGUUGACUGAAGACCACCUUGUCAACUAGACCAUGGCAGUAAGUGCCACAUGCAGUUAUUUCCCAUCCAGGGAUGGUGGCUCCACCACCUCCCUGUGCGUUCCAAUGUUUAACAACCUUUCCAGUGAAGAAUUUCCUCCUGAACCUCCCCUUUGAGGAGCUUUGAGGCUAUGUCCUGUGCAAAGGGACUCAGUAUAAUACAUUGCUGGGGACUGUGUUUAAAAAGCUUCUCUGGCAUAAGGAUGUAGGACAUGGAGAAAAAGUCAGUUACCUAAAAAUGGCAAGCACAAUAUUGCUCUUUUAUUAGCUUUAUUGUACAAAAAGACUUAACAAAAAUCCUGUCGCCAGUAAAUUAUACAAAUCCCCUCAAAGAGAUGAUUUCAUACUGCAUGUACAUGCCUGACUCCAGCUGACUCUUGUUUGUAUUAAAUAAUCUAAUUGUAUUUAAUAAUCUAAUUAAAUAAUCUAAUCUUGUUAACCUUUUAUAUAAGCAGAUAGUUCUUGGCUGUAUCACUAAAUUUAAAGUUUUCUGCUUCGCAGCAUUCUUAUGAACUUGUCAGCUUCAUUUAAUGUCAACUUCCUGUAGGCAAUACCAUAAACUUUUAGAACCCAAACACAUACUUUUUUUUUAGGGAUUUUUUUCUAGGUGGGUGCCAUUUUUAAUUUAUUUUUUUUUAGUUUUUCUAGCCUUCUGUAAUGGAGAAGCUAAAACAAGCUCCUAGCUCUAUUAAAAAAAUCUAUUGACAUUAAAGUGAGCAUCAAAAAUUCAGACAGAAGUAGUCAAAGUUUUUAUCCACAUACUGAAACCAUUCCAUGAAAAGAAGCCAUGAAAAACAGCACCGUGUACUUUCAAGAGCUGAGGAGUGGGGGAACAGGUACUGAGCAGAAUGAGAGCACCCCAAAGUGACAUAGGACCGGGCUGAGUGUACAGCCAUGUUCCAGGAUGCCCCAAGCACUUCCAUCUUCAGCUGCAUCUCAUGGCUGAUUUCCUCCUGUGAGCUGGGAAUUCAGUUCAGCCACCAGCACAUGUGCCAGCACAGCCCACUCCAAAACACAGGAGAUUAAAUUGGCAGAGACAAGCUGACUACUGGCAAGAUCAUGAAUUGCAGUCUGGCAAGCAUUGAACUA